rnacentral:rRNA from 1 species
GACGAACGCUGGCGGCGUGCCUAAUACAUGCAAGUCGAGCGAGACUCUUCGGAGUCUAGCGGCGGACGGGUGAGUAACACGUGGGCAACCUGCCUGUAAGACUGGGAUAACACCGGGAAACCGGUGCUAAUACCGGAUAAUCCUUUUCCUCUCAUGAGGAAAAGCUGAAAGUCGGUUUCGGCUGACACUUACAGAUGGGCCCGCGGCGCAUUAGCUAGUUGGUGAGGUAACGGCGCACCAAGGCGACGAUGCGUAGCCGACCGGAGAGGGUGAUGGGCAACACUGGGACUGCGACACGGCCCAGACUCCAACGGGAGGCAGCAGUAGGGAAUCUUCCACAAUGGACGAAAGUCUGAUGGAGCAACGCCGCGUGAGCGAUGAAGGCCUUCGGGUCGUAAAGCUCUGUUGUUAGGGAAGAACAAGUACCGGAGUAACUGCCGGUACCUUGACGGUACCUAACCAGAAAGCCACGGCUAACUACGUGCCAGCCGCCGCAGUAAAAC